ACACAUAACAGCCAAGACUAACAGUCUGAAACAUGGUCAUGGAUGACAGGGUACGGAAUCUCAUAAUGAAACCAUCAAAGGGUGAUAAAGUAUUGCAACAACUACUAUAUGAAGAAGAAAUUGUUUUGAUUGUAGAGAUUCUGCUAUAAGAGGAAGAAAGAGGCUGGGACCAUUUCCAUCAGGAAAGGUUUUCCUUAAAGCUGAGAAAGAGCCCAUCUGUUUGGGACCUGUUAUUCCUUCUGGGAUCCAAAAAUACCUCCACUAGGACUCUUUAAGAGCAACUACCUGAAUUCUCAAGGGGGUUUUGAAUUUGAACUCACUCUGGCCAGAGCCAUCCAGAUCUUUCUCUAAGAUUUCUCUCUCUCCCUGACCUAUUCCUGGAUGCCUGAAUUAAAAGCUAGCUGGCCAGAGGAGGGUUCAAGGCACCCAGCCUUUGAACCCUGAGAACAUGGGGGGCCAGUCUGCCAGCGGGGACCAGUGUUAGCGUUUCCUAUUCCCCACUUUCUUUGCCCAACACCCCUACCUCGUGUGAACCCAAAUAAAUUGUUUACUGCUUUAGAAUUAGGUCUGGUU
rnacentral:lncRNA from 1 species